AUUGAACGCUGGCGGAAUGCUUUACACAUGCAAGUCGAACGGCAGCACGGGGCAACCUGGUGGCGAGUGGCGAACGGGUGAGUAAUACAUCGGAACGUGCCCAGUCGUGGGGGAUAACGUAGCGAAAGUUACGCUAAUACCGCAUACGAUCUAUGGAUGAAAGCGGGGGAUCGCAAGACCUCGCGCGAUUGGAGCGGCCGAUGUCAGAUUAGGUAGUUGGUGGGGUAAAGGCCUACCAAGCCGACGAUCUGUAGCUGGUCUGAGAGGACGACCAGCCACACUGGGACUGAGACACGGCCCAGACUCCUACGGGAGGCAGCAGUGGGGAAUUUUGGGACAAUGGGCGCAAGCCUGAUCCAGCCAUUCCGCGUGCAGGAUGAAGGCCUUCGGGUUGUAACUGCUUUGUACGGUAACGAAAAGGACUCUGGUUAAUACCGGGACGUCAUGACGGUACCGUAAGAAUAAG
rnacentral:rRNA from 1 species